UUGCACGCUGGCGGCAUGCUUUACACCUGCAAGUCGCACGGUAACAGGCCUUCGGGUGCUGACGAGUGGCGAACGGGUGAGUAAUGCAUCGGAACGUGCCCAGAGGUGGGGGAUAACGCAGCGAAAGCUGUGCUAAUACCGCAUGUGAUCUGAGGAUGAAAGCGGGGGACCAAGCAGCAAUGUUUGGCCUCGCGCCUCUGGAGCGGCCGAUGUCAGAUUAGGUAGUUGGUGGGGUAAAGGCCUACCAAGCCGACGAUCUGUAGCUGGUCUGAGAGGACGACCAGCCACACUGGGACUGAGACACGGCCCAGACUCCUACGGGAGGCAGCAGUGGGGAAUUUUGGACAAUGGGCGCAAGCCUGAUCCAGCAAUGCCGCGUGCGGGAAGAAGGCCUUCGGGUUGUAAACCGCUUUUGUACGGAACGAAAAGGCUCUGGCUAAUACCUGGGGCUGAUGACGGUACCGUAAGAAUAAGCACCGGCUAACUACGUG
rnacentral:rRNA from 1 species